rnacentral:pre_miRNA from 11 species
GCCUGUAUGGAAAAAUCGAUUUUUCUAUACGGGCGUUUUAAAUGGUCCGCAUGCAUGCGAACAUCUUAAGUGGCCCGUAUGGAAAAAUCGAUUUUUCCAUACGGGU